AUAGAUAGAUUAGAUAGAGAUUAUGCUCUUCGACAGUCUCCAGUGACGCAGUGUUGUUGCCACAUCUAUUUCAAAUUCAGCUUCGUUUGAAUUUUCCUAAUCUAGGGUUCAGGGAUCAAGUGGGUUAUGUGGAGAAAUUCGAAAUUUGGGUCCGAUUAGUGUUUGGCUCCUGUAGAAGACGAAGUGUGUGGAAACUUGGAGUUUUGAUGGAGACUUGAGUGAUCUCAACAUCAGAGCUUUCACUAGCGGCGGAGCUCACACACUUUUCUUCGCCGGAUCAUCAUGUUGGUUAAAGAUAGUUCAUCAUGCGACGAGUUCGCGACCGGAGGAAUCUCUGUCAUGGGGCGAGCUUUACAGAAUCAAUCUAAUCCUGUCAGAGCUAUUCCUCAAGUUUCGGUGUCAAUCUCAAGAUGAAUAAACUUCAAACUGAGUUACGGCUUGCUCGUUCUUUGAUAGCCAAGAGAGAUGCAGAGUGUCGGCAGUAACAACAAUCAGGUUUUGCAGAAACCAGUAUUGUAGGGAAUAUCUUUACACUUAUUCAAUAUUUUAAGUUUGUUUGUGGUGUUGCAGUAUGCAUUAGACAUCUGAGCAAACUCAAUUGGAAAAUAAGAAUCAAAGCUAAGUUUUAACAUAAAGAUCAUAGUGUAAUAUCUUUCUACUGAAAGAAGUUUGUGUAGUGAAGCUUUUCUUAACUUUUCUCUCUUGGAAUCAAAGAUUUUUUGUUUUACUGUUGAAUGAAGUGAAGCAAAAGAGUACUCACUUGCAUAAAAUCCCUUGUGUACAAAUUGUCUAAUUGAUAAAAUGAUUUCAAGAUUUUGGAUCAAAUGAUAAUGACUUUGAUAUCUCACACUUGUAUAACAGAAAAUGGAAGGUGGUAUAGUUGAUUCUUAGUUGUGACUGGAGACUCUUGUUCUCAGUCCUUCUCUCUUUGCUUGCACCUUCUAAGCUGAAGUUUCUGUUGCAAGUGUUUAUGAAUCUUAUAUCAGCUUUGGGAUAAGUUUAUUAAGUGAAGGAAUUAGUACACUCAAUUUGAGAAAAAAGAGUUGGGCGUUACCACUCCUUUAACCGAAUUUCGAAAAUAAAUGGAUUCGGGUAAAUAAGGACAAGUAAUUACGGCGACGUGGCACUUAAAAUUUUUAUUACUGAUAUUGCUACGGUCAACGAAUAAAAGUUUCGUUAUUCAGUCAGUCAAUCAAUCAAUCCUCGGUUGAUGAAAUUCAUUCAGUUAACCGGAUAGUCCUUAACCACACAAGCAUAUCAAACCGGAGUGUCUCUGAAUUUUAAGAUUUUUGAGUGAUAUUUUUUACUUUUACCCUCUUUUUUAUUGUUUAGUUUUCUGCUCAUUAUACUUCCCUUAUUUGACCAAUUUUUUUUUCUUUGGUUUCUUGUUAAUGUUAAUAAUAGCUUUAAUGUUAAUGUUAAUAAUUUUUUUUUCUUUGGUUUCUUGUUAAUGUUAAUGUUAUUUUACCCUCGUAUUGAAGUUUUCUUUUAUAUUUUUUGGAGAGCAGGUUCAACAUUCAUAGUGAUGCGCUGGUACUCAUCCAAAAAAAAAAAAAAACUCUCUCUCUCAGUUCGCCCUAACUAGCCGCCGCUGUACGUGCUUUCCGCCUGAGACCGGUGGCUGGUGGCUUCCACAACACCGGUGCUGGUUUCCCUCUGUAGUAGUUGUUUUUCUCUUUUCGUUUCUACUGUUUUUUGCGAUGUGGUUAAGAUCUUGCCUUGCUUCGUCGGGAUCUGGGUGGGGGUUAUGGGUUGUCUUUGGCCGGAGUUGGAGGACGAAGUUGGCUUCCUGCAAACCAUCUUCUUCUUCGACUUUCUUCUUCCUCCCCGGAUCGAUUCAGGCUCGCUGGAGUAGGUGAGUCUCUCCGACCUUGAUGUGGAGUUGAAUGUUCUCCGAUUGGUUUUUGUGGUUCUCCGAUCUGUGAUUUUCGUCUCUGUUCUUGUCUGAUUGGGAUUCGAAUUUGGUUUGUCGAGUUUUCCGGUUGCGUCCAUUGGAUCUGCGGCAACGGCCUUCGUCGUCAUUUAUCCUCACAGGUCGUCCCUUUAUUUACCUUCGGUUAAUUGCUUUGGUUGUUGGAGUAUGUUUGGGUGCGUUUGGUUGAGGGUAGAAGCCUUAGUUUCAAGUUUAGGGCUGGAAAUAUUGACUCCUAGUUCUGCCUCUUGUUACUUUCUGCCCGGUUAUUGGUGUUAUGAGUUUGUGAAGGUUUCGUUUUGUGGGUUCUUCAUUCGGAUGGUAGUCUCCUGCAAAGGCAUCUACUAGCUCUUUUCCUUCUCCUUGUUUGGAUUUAAGAUUUGAGUUCAAGACGAUGUGGUAGGCUCGGUCUACAUUCCUUCUCUUGUGUGGCGUAACCAGUUCUUAGGCUGUAGAUGGUUUUGGCUGGGUCUACGAAUGUCCGCGUGUAAGGUUUGUUGGUUCUCUUUGGCGUUUUCCCCUUCGGAUCUCAAGGCUUCUCCUUGUCCUUUCACCUGCUUGUCUUCUCUGGUUUCUGUGUGGUAGUGAUGGUUAGGAUCUGUGCUCUGUUCCUCUUAUUUGUCUGUGCUUGUUUCCGCUGGGGUUGUGGUUGUGUGAGCUUGGUUUAGUAUCCUUCUCGGGCCUUUCAUAUAAAGGCAAUCUAAUGAUGGAUCCUCUUGUUGCUCCUGUUUGUAACCACUGUCCAGCGCCCAAAUUGUUCUAUGGAAAUGUUCAUCGGAUGAUUUUAGUGAAGAGUUUGCAGUUGUGUUGCUUGAGUCUUAGGUAUUUGUCAUUCCCUGUACUUUAUGGUUUUCCUUCUUUAUGUCUGCCUUUUUUGGCCUAUGUCUCUGGGGGUUUCUAUGUACCCGCCGGCUUUGUUUUCGGAAGGAUUUCUUUCCUUGCCGCUAUGUAUUAACUUCAAGUAUCUUAUCAAUGAAUUAUUCAGACGAAAAAAAAAAAA